rnacentral:rRNA from 1 species
GAUCCUGGCUCAGGAUGAACGCUGGCGGCGUGCUUAACACAUGCAAGUCGAGCGAAGCACUUAGGAAAGAUUCUUCGGAUGAUUUCCUAUUUGACUGAGCGGCGGACGGGUGAGUAACGCGUGGGUAACCUGCCUCAUACAGGGGGAUAACAGUUAGAAAUGACUGCUAAUACCGCAUAAGACCACAGCACCGCAUGGUGCAGGGGUAAAAAACUACCGGUGGUAUGAGAUGGACCCGCGU